AGAGGGUUUGAUCAUGGCUCAGAUUGAACGCUGGCGGGAUGCUUACACAUGCAAGUCGAACGGCAGCACGGACUUCGGUCUGGUGGCGAGUGGCGAACGGGUGAGUAAUGUAUCGGAACGUGCCUAGUAGCGGGGAUAACUACGCGAAAGCGUAGCUAAUACCGCAUACGGCCCUUCGGGGGAAAGCGGGGACCUUUCGGGCCUCGCACUAUUAGAGCGGCCGAUAUCGGAUUAGCUAGUUGGUGGGGGUAACGGCUCACCACAAGGACGAUCCGUAGCUGGUUUGAGGACGACCAGCCACACUGGGACUGAGACACGGCCCAGACUCCUACGGGAGGCAGCAGUGGGGAAUUUUGGACAAUGGGGGAAACCCCGAUCCAGCCAUCCUGCGUAAAGGCGAUGAAGGCCUUCGGGUUGUAAAGCACUUUGGCAGGAAGGUUCGGCACGGGAUAAUACCCCGUGCAACUGACGGUACCUGCAGAAUAAGCACCGGCUAACUACGUGCCAGCAGCCGCGGUAAUACGUAGGGUGCAAGCGUUAAUCGGAAUUCAUUGGGCGGCGUGCGCAGGCGGUUCGGAAAGAAAGAUGUGAAAUCCCAGAGCUUAACUUUGGAACUGCAUUUUAACUACCGAGCUAGAGUGUGUCAGAGGGAGGUGGAAUUCCGCGUGUAGCAGUGAAAUGCGUAGAUAUGCGGAGGAACACCGAUGGCGAAGGCAGCCUCCUGGGAUAACACUGACGCUCAUGCACGAAAGCGUGGGAGCAAACAGAUUAGAUAAUUCUGGUAUCCACGCCUCAAACGAUGUCAACUAGCUGUUGGGGCCUUCGGGCCUUGGUAGCGCAGCUAACGCGUGAAGUUGACCGCCUGGGGAGUACGGUUCGCAAGAUUAAAACUCAAAGGAAUUGACGGACCCGCACAAGCGGUGGAUGAUGUGGAUUAAUUCGAUGCAACGCGAAAAAACCUUACCUACCCUUGACAUGUCUGGAAUCCCGAAGAGAUUUGGGAGUGCUCGCAAGAGAACCGAACACAGGUGCUGCAUGGCUGUCGUCAGCUCGUGUCGAGAUGUUGGGUUAAGUCCCAACGAGCGGCAACCCUUGUCAUUAGUUGCUACGAAAGGGCACUCCCACGAGAUCUGCCGGUGACAAACCGGAGGAAGGGGAUGACGUCAGUCUUCAUGGCCUCUUAUGGGUAGGGCUUUCAUCAUACGCCAAUGGUCGGGACAGAGGGUCGCCAACCCGCGAGGGGGAGCCAAUCCCAGAAACCCGAUCGUAGUCCGAUCACAGUCUGCAACUCGACUGCGUGAAGUCGGAAUCGCUAGUAAUCGCGGAUCAGCAUGUCGGUGAAUACGUUCCCGGGUCUUGUACACACCGGCCUGGUCACACCAUGGGAGUGGGUUUUACCAGAAGUAGUUAGCCUAAAUCGUAAGGAGGGCGAUUACCGCCACUUGCAGGAUUCAUGACUGGGGUGAAGUCGUAACAAGGUAA
rnacentral:rRNA from 1 species